rnacentral:lncRNA from 1 species
AAAUAACAUUAAAAACAAGUGAAAUAUUAUUGCCAUUUAAAAUAGCUGUUCUCUAUGUGAAUAUCUGUUAAACUGUAAUUUAUUUCUGUGAUGCGCAGCUGUAUUUUCAGCAUCAUUACUCCAGUCUUCAGUGUCACAUGAUCUUCAGAAAUCAUUCUAAUAUGAUGAUUUGCUGCUCAAUAAAUAUUUCUGAAACAGUUGUGCUGCUGAAUAUUAAGUACGCUGUUAUUUUCUUGCUCUUUCAGUUGCUGGACCAGAUUCCCGAAGCCGGUCUGAACUUCCAGAAGGAGUCUCCUGCUGCGGUGCCGGCUGACGAGUCUGAGCAGAUCGUUAGUAAUCGACAGAGCCUGAGAGCAGACGAGCUUACACUGAACGAUAUGAUGCUGAAUCCAGUGUCCCAGCUGUCUCUCUCCAUCCGUGAAAACACAGAGCAGCUAACGGAGAAGAUCAAGGCUUUGUUUCAUAAUAAAAUGGAUGUUUUUGGGAGAAAUUGAAGCGAAAAUCAAUAAAGCUGAUGAUUCUCCACCAAUGAAAACAUCAAACAAGGUGUGUCUCUCUUAUUCCUCCUUAAAAUGUUAUAUUUAUUUAUUUAUCUAUUCUAUAAAAUCUGAACUUCAUUGAACUAUUUGUAAUGUUGAAUGAAGUUAUAUAUUAUAAAACAGUUUGAUUUUUAUUAUUUAUUUUUAUAUAUAAUAUUUUAUUAAUUUAUUUUAUUGUUUUUUUAAAUUCAGGGGCUAUAUUAGAGAAGCAGUAAAUGAUCGUGGUUCAUAUCAGUGUUAUUUUAGUGUCUCAUACUAUUAUAUUUUUUUUAUUAUCAUUUUGAAUUAUUACAUUUUUAUAUUUUCUGUUCUCAUUUUAAUUUUAGUAAAUUUUACUAAUUUAGUUGUUUUGGCCUUUUUUUUUUAUGUUUUAUAUAUAUAUAUAAUAUAAAAUGUGUUUAGAUACAUACAGGGCUCCCACAGGUCCUUGAAAUCCUUGAAAGUUUGUGAAUCUGAAACAAAACAUUUCAAGGCCUUGGAAAGUUUUUGAAAAUAAGCGUACAUAGAUCCACAUCCUUGAAAGUGUUUGAAUUUAUUAUGUUCGCGCGCACAAAUCUACUACAAUGGUACCUCAACGUUUCUCUCACACACACACACACACACACACACACACACAGUUAAACAUUGACGAAAAUAAAAUUAUUUUUAAUAAUUUACAUUUAACGAAUUAAAUAUUACAUUAUACGUAUGUCAAAUGAUGUGUGAUUUCCAUCAGAGGUUUGGUCUUAAAUUUCACAUCAGGCGGUAUUAAAAAGGUCUUUAAAAGUCUUAAAUUUGACUUGUUCAUAUCUGUAGACACCCUGAUGUAGUAUCUGAUUUAAGAUCUGUAUAAGGAAAUUGACAUUGUUUUUUUCUCCUUUUGUUGUACAGGCUACGUUUCAAAGCUCAUCUCAACCAACCCCUCGCCACACCUACCUUUCUCACAGCCAGUCAGGGCAGAGGUUUUACCACCAUGGCAAAUAGCGAUUCAUUUCAGUCUAAUGCAGAAUGUUAGGGUGUGAAGAUAAGAUUCACCACUAACACUUUGGAGCCUUUUGGAUUAAAGCUACAAAGCACACAAUGCUUGGCAUCAUAGUGUUAUGACGUAGAACACAUGACUGUAUUAAGUCAUUUCCUCUGUUAUUCUUCAGCUGUUAGACCUCCCUUUGCCACAGGGUGUGCCAUUUAUUUCAUUAUUACAGUGGGAUGUGUCUGACAGUUUCUUUUAUGCAUUUGAAGACAUCGACAACAGCUGUGCCAACAUUAGUAACAUUAUAAUACUACCACUCAAUGACACAACUAAAUUUAAAUCUGGUUUUAAAACUAACUAAACAAUAUAGGAACAGACUAGAAGAUUGUAUUUCCAUGUUCUGUAACAGACCUCCCACUCAGUGCUGUCUAUAACUUGCAUUAACAUUGAUGAAUACACCUUUUGCCUAAUUCAAAGAACAGGAAAAUAAUAUUUUCAUAUGAUUUUAAAUUGCAAAUGUGAUGUUUUUAGCCAACCAACUGAAUUUCACAAAACUGCACUUAAAAAUAUGAAUAUUAUUAAUAAUCUGUUUAAAAGAGCUUGUUAAAAUCCUAAAUAAAUAGCUGUGUAGAAAAAAUAUUUUUGACUUGUCAUCUUUUAAUUUUUUCUUUGGUCUGUAUUAUUCUUUUUAGGGUUACUGAAUUAUGUGGUUGGGUGGAAGUGUGUUUCGACAUUGGCUUAUGUAAAAACCUUGAUGAUGAAAUUCAUUCAGAACUCUCUCAACAAUUUAGGAAGUCUAAGAUCAAUUUCGAUUCUUUGGUUUUUUUUUUUUUUUUUUUUUUUAGGGUGUUUAGGUUGUUUUGUUUUUUUUUUUUUUUUAGGGUUUUGUUUAGGUUGUUUCUCUUAAAUACUGUGGAAAUCCCCAGCACUGUUGACCACAUAGCACUUCACGUCAUCUUGAAAGCAAGACAAACUUGUAACUCUGUCCCUACCCUACAUUUCCCUUGAGUCUGACAUCAGGAAUAGACUAUGGUAAGCUGAAGGANNNNNNNNNNNNNNNNNNNNNNNNNNNNNNNNNNNNNNNNNNNNNNNNNNNNNNNNNNNNNNNNNNNNNNNNNNNNNNNNNNNNNNNNNNNNNNNNNNNNUCGGAUAUCGAAAAACCUAAAUCGAGCUUUUUGCAACUACAUUCAACAAAGUAUUGAGCGUAUGGGUUACGCGCGAUCUCUACAGGAAUCACCCUGUGACGCAACCACGCAAAGAGCGCCAGACUUUUCUGCGUGAUGCAUAUUGAUGUGAACGUAAUGAAUAUUCAUGACGGAUUGUCAAACAUGAUCCAAAAUCUGACAAAAUAGACAACGCAGUUUUUUAUUUGUAUUCAUUUGUGGAAUACACUGUGCCCAGACUUUGUAAAUCAACCGUUACGAUGCGUGGCUGGCUCCUUGCGGUAACGUCCUUGUGUUCAAACGAUGAACACAGGAAAUGGAGAAACUGUGGUUCGAUGGGCGCCAUGUUGGAUCAGAUGCGCUAUACAUUUCCACGCAGAAUGUCCACUGUGGGAGCCGUAAUGGCGUACUUUGUUUUUGCACUGCGUACACACGGACUUCCUUGAUCCUGGCAGGUCAGCUGACCAAUGUCGUGACAGUUUUUUUCCUCGCUCCACUGCUUGGUAGGGUAUUCCGAGGAUUGUCGUUCAUUUCAUGCUAAUACAGUAAGACUCAUCGUUUGAUUUUUUUUAUACAGUUAUGUUUUUAUUGCUAUCAAACCGGGCAGCUUGGUCCUGUCUCAUUUUCUAACGUGACGCAGGUGACAUCUCAGUUGCUGAUCAGGCUUUGCUAGUAGCCAUCUGUCACCUGACAUCCAGUGGUUCCUAACUAAAGCUUGCUAACGUUAGAUCUCGCAAUUCAGUAGUUUUGGUCGUGUGAAGGCGUUUAUUUCUAUAUAUCUUUAUUUGAUCUGUUGUGCGUUUAGUACAGGAGUCAAAUUCAUAUAAUUUUAAUUUGAUACUCAGCAGGAAUAGUUUAAAUCUGAAUGGAUACCGGCCGGCCAUAGUGGUUCUCUUAAUAUUAUAGUCGAGAAAGUCUUUAAAUUUGUCAUCAGUAAUUGAAAUAUUUAUCAUAACAGUAAGAUUGAAACUCACAUUUGCUUUCGAGUAUAUUGAUUAGAACUGGAACAAAACAGUAGACCUUGAGGUUCUAUUGAAAUUGUGAAAAUUGAAACGUCUUGUAAUGUUGAUAAGGUUUGGCAUGUGUCUUGAAACACUGAAUAUAGAUAUUGGUGCAGAUGGAAUGAAUGAACUG